GCCACCUUAGCUCAGUUGGUAGAGCGGAGCUUUCGUAAAGCUCAGGUCGCUGGUUCAAGUCCAGUAGGUGGCU
rnacentral:tRNA from 1 species